CAAAUGAAUUGACGGGGGCCCGCACAAGCGGUGGAGCAUGUGGUUUAAUUCGAUGCAACGCGAAGAACCUUACCUGGUCUUGACAUCCACAGAACUUUCCAGAGAUGGAUUGGUGCCUUCGGGAACUGUGAGACAGGUGCUGCAUGGCUGUCGUCAGCUCGUGUUGUGAAAUGUUGGGUUAAGUCCCGCAACGAGCGCAACCCUUAUCCUUUGUUGCCAGCGGUUAGGCCGGGAACUCAAAGGAGACUGCCAGUGAUAAACUGGAGGAAGGUGGGGAUGACGUCAAGUCAUCAUGGCCCUUACGACCAGGGCUACACACGUGCUACAAUGGCAUAUACAAAGAGAAGCGACCUCGCGAGAGCAAGCGGACCUCAUAAAGUAUGUCGUAGUCCGGAUUGGAGUCUGCAACUCGACUCCAUGAAGUCGGAAUCGCUAGUAAUCGUAGAUCAGAAUGCUACGGUGAAUACGUUCCCGGGCCUUGUACACACCGCCCGUCACACCAUGGGAGUGGGUUGCAAAAGAAGUAGGUAGCUUAACCUUCGGGAGGGCGCUUACCACUUUGUGAUUCAUGACUGGGGUGAGUGAAGAGAGGGGAAAAAA
rnacentral:rRNA from 1 species